rnacentral:rRNA from 1 species
CCUACGGGUGGCAGCAGUGAGGAAUAUUGGUCAAUGGGCGCGAGCCUGAUCCAGCCACGUCGCGUGAAGGAAGACUGCCCUCCGGGUUGUAAACCUCUUUUAUAAGGAAUAAAGUGAGGCACGUGUGCCUUUUUGUCUGUACUUUAUGAAUAAGGAUCGGCUAACUCAGUGCCAGCAGCCGCGGUAUUACGUAGGAUCCGUGCGUUAUCCGGAUUUAUUGGGUUUAAAGGGAUCGGAGAUGGGGUGUUAAGUCAGUGGUGAAAGUUUGCGGGUCAACCGUAAAAUUGCAAUUGAUACUGGCAGUCUUGAGUACAGUAGAGGUAGGCGGAAUUCGUGGUGUAGCGGUGAAAUGCUUAGAUAUCACGAAGAACUCCGAUGGCGAAGGCAGCUUACUAAACUGCCACUGACAUUGAUGCUCGAAAGUGUGGGUAUCAAACAGGAUUAGAUACCCUAGUAGUC